UCCGGAGGGGGCUAGCGUUGUUCGGAAUUACUGGGCGUAAAGCGCACGUAGGCGGCUUUGUAAGUUAGAGGUGAAAGCCUGGAGCUCAACUCCAGAAUUGCCUUUAAGACUGCAUCGCUUGAAUCAUGGAGAGGCGGGUGGAAUUCCGAGUGUAGAGGUGAAAUUCGUAGAUAUUCGGAAGAACACCAGUGGCGAAGGCGGCCCGCUGGACAUGUAUUGACGCUGAGGUGCGAAAGCGUGGGGAGCAAACAGG
rnacentral:rRNA from 1 species